UAAACGCUGGCGGCGUGCUUAACACAUGCAAGUCGAACGAAGUUUUUCUUUCGGGAGGAACUUAGUGGCGGACGGGUGAGUAACGCGUGGGUAACCUGCCCUGUACAGGGGGACAACAGCUGGAAACGGCUGCUAAUACCGCAUAAGCCCUUAGCACUGCAUGGUGCAUAGGGAAAAGGAGCAAUCCGGUACAGGAUGGACCCGCGUCUGAUUAGCCAGUUGGCAGGGUAACGGCCUACCAAAGCGACGAUCAGUAGCCGAUCUGAGAGGAUGUACGGCCACAUUGGGACUGAGACACGGCCCAGACUCCUACGGGAGGCAGCAGUGGGGAAUACUGCACAAUGGAGGAAACUCUGAUGCAGCGACGCCGCGUGAGUGAAGAAGUAUUUCGGUAUGUAAAGCUCUAUCAGCAGGAAAGAAAAUGACGGUACCUGACUAAGAAGCACCGGCUAAAUACGUG
rnacentral:rRNA from 1 species